UGACGGAGCACGCCGCGUGAGUGAUGAAGGCCUUCGGGUUGUAAAACUCUGUCUUCUGUGAAGAACAAGCCUGUGAGUGGAAAGCUCAGGCUCUGACGGUAACAGAGGAGGAAGCCACGGCUAACUACGUGCCAGCAGCCGCGGUAAUACGUAGGUGGCAAGCGUUGUCCGGAAUCACUGGGCGUAAAGCGCGCGCAGGCGGCGAUCUACGUCUGGGGUGAAAGCCCGGGGCUCAACCUCGGGACUGCCUUGGAUACGGGAUCGCUUGAGAAUCGGAGAGGUAAGGGGAAUUCCACGUGUAGCGGUGAAAUGCGUAGAUAUGUGGAGGAACACCAGUGGCGAAGGCGCCUUACUGGCCGAUUUCUGACGCUGAGGCGCGAAAGCGUGGGGAGCAAACAGGAUUAGAUACCCUGGUAGUCCACGCCGUAAACGAUGAGUGCUAGGUGUUGGGGGGUACCACCCUCAGUGCCGAAGCUAACGCAUUAAGCACUCCGCCUGGGGAGUACGGUCGCAAGACUGAAACUCUAG
rnacentral:rRNA from 1 species